rnacentral:rRNA from 1 species
AGCAGCCGCGGUAAUUCCAGCUCCAAUAGCGUAUAUUAAAGUUGUUGCAGUUAAAAGCUCGUAGUUGAAUUUCGGGGUUAGUAGGUUGGUCAUGCCUCUGGUAUGUACUGGUCUCACUGAUUCCUCCUUCCUGAUGAACCGUAAUGCCAUUAAUUUGGUGUUGCGGGGAGACUGGACUGUUACUUUGAAAAAUUAGAGUGUUAAAGCAGGCGCACGCUUGAAUACAUUAGCAUGGAAUAAUGAAAUAGGACGUUUGAUUCUAUUUUGUUGGUUUCUAGGAUCGACGUAAUGAUUAAUAGGGAUAGUUGGGGGCAUUAGUAUUCAAUUGUCAGAGGUGAAAAUUCUUGGAUUUAUUGAAGACUAACUACUGCGAAAGCAUUUGCCAGGAUGUUUUCAUUAAUCAAGAACGAAAGUUAGGGGAUCGAAGAUGAUCAGAUACCGUCGUAGUCUUAACCAUAAAACUAUGCCGACUAGGGAUCGGAUGAUGUUAAUUUUUUAA